GUUUGCUUCUUUUUUUUUUUUAAAUAUAAUUUAUUGUCAAGCUGGCCAACAUAUAGUGUAUACAGUGUGCUCUUGGCUUUGGGAGUAGAUUCCCGUGACUCAUCGCUUACAUGCAACACGCAGUGCCCGUCCCAACAAGUGCCCUCCUCAAUGCCCAUCACCCACUUUCCCCUCCCCCCCCCACUUUGAUCCACCCUGA